UAUCUCAUUUAUCACAAUUACCGACAUACAAGGGAUGUAGGUUAUCUCAUUUAUCACAUUUACCAACAUACAAGGGGUGUAGGUUAUCUCAUUUAUCACAUUUACCAACAUACAAGGGGUGCAGGUUAUCUCAUUUAUCACAUUUACCAACAUACAAGGGGUGUAGGUUAUCUCAUUUAUCACAUUUACCAACAUACAAGGGUUGCAGGUUAUCUCAUUUAUCACAUUUACCGACAUACAAGGGGUGUAGGUUAUCUCAUUUAUCACAUUUACCAACAUACAAGGGGUGCAGGUUAUCUCAUUUAUCACAUUUACCAACAUACAAGGGGUGCAGGUUAUCUCAUUUAUCACAUUUACCAACAUACAAGGGGUGCAGGUUAUCUCAUUUAUCACAUUUACCAACAUACAAGGGGUGCAGGUUAUCUCAUUUAUCACAUUUACUGACAUACAAGGGGUGUAGGUUAUCUCAUUUAUCACAUUUACUGACAUACAAGGGGUGUAGGUUAUCUCAUUUAUCACAUUUACUGACAUACAAGGGGUGUAGGUUAUCUCAUUUAUCACAUUUACCAACAUACAAGGGGUGCAGGUUAUCUCAUUUAUCACAUUUACCAACAU